rnacentral:rRNA from 1 species
CCUACGGGGGGCUGCAGUGGGGAAUAUUGGACAAUGGGGGCAACCCUGAUCCAGCCAUGCCGCGUGUGUGAAGAAGGCCCUCGGGUUGUAAAGCACUUUCAGUGAGGAAGAACGCCUGGUGGUUAAUACCCAUCAGGAAAGACAUCACUCACAGAAGAAGCACCGGCUAACUCCGUGCCAGCAGCCGCGGUAAUACGGAGGGUGCGAGCGUUAAUCGGAAUUACUGGGCGUAAAGCGCGCGUAGGUGGCUUGAUAAGCCGGUUGUGAAAGCCCCGGGCUCAACCUGGGAACGACAUCCGGAACUGUCAAGCUAGAGUGCAGGAGAGGAAGGUAGAAUUCCCGGUGUAGCGGUGAAAUGCGUAGAGAUCGGGAGGAAUACCAGUGGCGAAGGCGGCCUUCUGGACUGACACUGACACUGAGGUGCGAAAGCGUGGGUAGCAAACAGGAUUAGAUACCCGUGUAGUC